rnacentral:lncRNA from 10 species
UGAGAUGGAGUCUCGCUCUGUCACCCAGGCUGGCGUGCAGUGGUACCACUGAUACAGGAGUGCUGGGAAGGGAAGAAGGGGGUAGGGGAAGUGCUCCGUAGAGGAGGGCGUGGUCCCUGGCUAGGGCUUCACCCCCAGGGACCUAGAUGAGAACAGCCAUUUCCUGCCAAAUGUUGCAUUUCCCAAGACCACCCUGGCUUGCCACACCCCCCGUCCUGGGCAUAUAAAAGCCCGAGACCCUAGCGGGCAGACACCCAGGCAGCCAAACGUCGAGAGGAGCACUUCAGCGGAAAAAGAUACAAGCAGCUGCUCACGGAGAGGAUGUUGAGAGGAGCACACCAGCAGAAGAGCACACGGCAGGCACAGGCACCUGGCAGGACGAGGCUGAGUUUGGCCAGGGCAGUUAGUCGGAGGAAAGCUGUGGCCGCUGAGCAGCCCAACUCCAUGGGAAAAACCAUGGUGCCCUUCUGGCUCCUCCAUCGGCUGAGAGCUACUUCCACUCAAUAAAACUUUGCACUCAUUCUCCAAGCCCACGUGUGAUCUGAUUUCUCUGGUACACAAAGGCAAGAACCUGGGAUACAGAAAUCCCUCUGUCCUCGCAACAAGGUAGAGGGUGAAUUGAGCUGGUUAACACAAACCGCCUAUAGAUGGCAAACUAAGAGAGCACCUGGUAACAUAUGCCCACUGGGGCUUCAGCUGUAAAUUCACCUAUAGACACCGCCAUCGGGUGGGAGCCCGACAACCUGCCUGCCUGUAUGCUCCCCUAGAGGUUUGAGCAGCAGGGCACUGAAAAAGCGAGCCACAUCCCCCUGUUGCAUGCCCUGCGAGGGGGACAAGGUAAUUUUUCCCGUUUCACCUUCUUGGCUCACUGCAACCUCUGCCUCCUGGAUUCAAGCAGUUCUCCUGCCUCAGCCUCCCAAGUAGCUGAGAUUACAGGCAUGUGCCACCACACCUGGCAAAUUUUUGUAUUUUUAGCGGAGAUGGGGUUUUACUGCAUUGGCCAGGCUAGUCUCGAACUCCUGACCUCAAGUGACCUACCCACCUCGGCCUCCCAAAGUGCUGCUUUAAAGUUUUGAAACUACUGGACUAAAUCAGAGGUUCUCAACCAGAGGCAGUUUUGCCUCAUUCCCCUUGGGGACAUACGCUAGUGUCUGGAGAUAUUCUUGAUUGUCACAACUGUAGGAGGGUGCUACUGGCAUCUAGUGAGUGGAGGCCAGAGAUGCUGCAAAACAUCCUACAAUGCACAGGUCAGCUCCUUACAGCAAAGAAUUAUCCAGUCCUAAAUGUCAAUAGUGCCAAGGUUGAGACAACCUGGAUUGGAUAUUUCCCGGCUCCCACCCUUGUUCUCCUUAAGAACUUUGGUUCCUGCUUGCUUCUCUGACUAUUCCUACUUGAGACAAGAAGAAUGCAGCAUUUGAGUUCUUGCCUUGGACCAAAUCUGGGCACCAACCAGCUUGGCCGCUGCCCCAGCUGGGCUGGCUCCAGGCCCACCAGGAAGGGCACGUGGAUGGUCUCAUGCUUCCCCACUUCCCUUUAAUGCUUUGUUAACAUUUGAAUUACAACACUCACUACAGAAACUACAGCAAGUUGUAAACAUGUCCCCCCACCCCAAGGGGCCAGGGCCAUACUUUAUUCAUCUCUGUUUUUUCCACAGCACCAAGCUCUGUGCAGUUGAACUGGGUCAUGGAUGUAGAGAAUAUAAAUGCCCGUUAAAGCAAGAGCUCUUGUGUUUCUGUUCCUGUGGAGUGCAGCUGAAAUGACCGCUACUGCUCCUUCACAGUAUAUUUACAUGAGCUUCCUGUGGACAUCAGCACCAUUUAAAAUUAAGGCUGGAACACAGAUGUGGGGCUGGAAGUGGAGCAGCCCCUUUUAGCCAUGAGGCCCAAAGCCACAUGCUAAGGAUGGUGAAGCAGGGGAUAGAAAGAGCCUGUGUCUUUGCUGACUUCCUUAAGCCACGGCACCAGCCUGGGCCUGCCCUACUCUGGACAUCUAAAUGUGUAAGGAGAAAUAAACUUCAUUCGUUUUAUUACCACUGUUCUUGAGUUUUCAAUACAGGCAGCUGAAUGCGCCCCUAAGGGAUAGAUACCUAGUAAACCACAAGGGAAAAGACAUCCCAGAGUAAUGGGGAGAAGAUAAGCUGAGCCUGCCAAUGGGGUGGAGCACCAGAUAUCCUGUCUUCUAUUUCCAUUUCAAGUUUGUUCUUGUAACCCAAAGAAUACCAGUAAACUUCUUUUAGAGAAUUGUUAUGGAAAUCGGGUGAUAAAAUCUCUGUCUUCUUUUAAAAUAGCAGGAGCUAAGAAUCAAGUCAGUCUAGAGGUGUUCGUUGCCAUGUGGAGAGAUCCUUCCCAAGAAGAAAGAUGCUACAAAGUGUCCUGGAAAUCCUCUUUGCCCAUCCAGAUCCACCCUCCCUAGCCUGCUCUGUACCUCAGGAAGCUGCUUUUCAUGGUUCACAUAAACCAGGCUCCUGUACCCUCCAGAUAGGUCCAUCCUAUGGGUGGUACCAGCAGGAGACCAGAGAGAUGAAGGAGGGAAAAAAAGAACAUUAGGGGUUGAAUUGUAUCACCCCAAAAUUCAUAUGGUGAAGUAUAACCCCUUCGGAAUGUAACCUUAUUGGAAAUGUCAGAGGCACGUGAACCAGAGCAACUCCAUCUUGAAUAGGGGCUGGGUAAAAUGAGGCUGAGACCUAUUGGGCUGCAUUCCCAGACGGUUAAGGCAUUCCAAGUCACAGGAUGAGAUAGGAGGUUGGCACAACAUAUAGGUCAUAAAGACCUUGCUGAUGAAACAGUUGCAGUAAAGAAGCCAGUCAAAGCGCACCAAAACCAAGAUGGCGACAAGAGUGACCUCUGGGCAUCCUCACUGCUACACUCCCAGCAGCACCAUGACAGUUUACAAAUGCCAUGGCAACAUCAGAAAGUUACCCUAGAUCAUCUAAACAUGGGAGGCAUGAAUAAUCCACCCCUUGCUUAGCAUAUACUCAAGAAAUAACCAUAAAAAUGGGCAGCCAGCAGCCCUCGGGGCUGCUCUGUUUAUGGAGUAGGCAUUCUUUUAUUCCUGCACUUUCCUAAUAAACUUGCUUUCACUUUACGGACUUGCCCUGAAUUUUUUCUUGCACAAGAUCCAAGAACUCUCUUGGGGUCUGGAUCAGGACCCCUUUCCCAUAACAUACCCUCCAGAUCAGUCCAGCUAACGAGAGACCAGCAGGAGAUCAGAG